UCCUUUGAAAAAACCAAAACUUUACCUGAUAAUGUCUAAAGAGAAUCUUAUCUUUUGAAACUGUGGCCUCAAUAUCUCUAAAGCAAGGAGCUCUAGCUAGCCACACAAACCAGAAGCAUCAUCUUUCUCAAGAAAACUGCGAAAAAAACUUGGACCUGUCCUCUAGCGAGCGGUUGAGGAAAAAGAGGUCAAAUUUUACGCAUGUGAACACAAUAAUACUAAAUAACAGUUCUAAAUGUUAGAUUGUUAGUAGCGCGCGCGCAUCACCCCUAUCUUUUGGUAAUGUUUCUAAUCCUCAAAACUCACAAGAACAAAGGAAGGUACAAAGUACCUCACGGCUCACAGGUCUCGCUUAUGCUGAGCUUAUCAUGGAGCAACUGAAACCCAUCUCAAAUGCGUGAUUCUUGAAACUAUUUUGUGGUAGACCCCAAGACUCGAGCGUCAGCUGAUGCUGGUAGCAACCCAGAAGAUUCCUUUCUUAGUGAGAUGGAUACUUCUCUCUCCAAAAGGAAAUAAGGCAAACAAAAGAGGAAAUAGAGAGAAACGAAUCUGAAUCUGCAUGGUCUGAUCUACAACUAUUGGUGCAGGUUAUGAAGUACUCAUGAGCUCCUGGACAUGAAUAUCGGAAACAACAUCGGCAUUCUGUCAUCAAAUUUGUCGCUAAUAUGGAGUGAUCAGUGAGCUUCGAAGGUUACCAUUUUUUUUUUUUGUUUGUGACAUGUUCUUAUUUGUUAGAGAACUUCUGUUCUUCGAUCUAGAUUUUCAGAAUCCCAAUCCCACCUGUUAACAUGACAUGGAGAUGACAAGAUUUUAGAUGAAGAAUUGUGUUGAUUUUAUUUAA